rnacentral:rRNA from 1 species
UGGGGAAUUUUGGACAAUGGGCGCAAGCCUGAUCCAGCCAUGCCGCGUGCAGGAUGAAGGCCUUCGGGUUGUAAACUGCUUUUGUACGGAACGAAAAGACUCCUUCUAAUAAAGGGGGUCCAUGACGGCAUCGUAAGAAUAAGCACCGGCUAACUACGUCCCAGCAGCCGCGGUAAUACUUAGGGUGCGCGCGUUAAUCGGAAUUACUGGGCGUAAAGCGUGCGCAGGCGGUUAUAUAAGUCAGAUGUGAAAUCCCCGGGCUCAACCUGGGAACUGCAUUUGAAACUGUAUGGCUAGAGUACGGCAGAGGGGGAUGGAAUUCCGCGUGUAGCAGUGAAAUGCGUAGAUAUGCGGAGGAACACCGAUGGCGAAGGCAAUCCCCUGGGCAUGUACUGACGCUCAUGCACGAAAGCGUGGGGAGCAAACA